UAAAUUGAGCUCUAUCCAUCUCCCUUCUCCUUUAGUGAAGCUCAUCACUUGAUGAAGCUCUCAGCUUAGCUUCGGUUCUUGGCGAUUGAUCUUGGGUGAUUUCUCUCGUGGGGAUUAGAGUAUCUGCAUGUUUACGGUUCUUGGUGUUUCUUUUUAUGGUUGUUAGUUUGGAUUGAGAGGUGGGAAGAUAAUUCUUUGCACAGAUCGUUUUGUGUUUAGGGUUCUUGGGUUUAGGGUUUUGAGGCGUAUUGAUGGUUAUGGAUCCACAGUUUAAUUGUCCUUCCAAUCCCACAAACGGAUCUGAGUUGAAUCAUGAGAAUAUUUUCCCCAGUUCUGAUGAGAACACUUUUUUCUCAAACGAAUUCGAAUUCCAAAAUGGCUCUGAUCUCAACUUCAUGGAUUUUCCUUCCCCUCCACCGGAGCCAGCUCCGGUUAUUUUGGCCCCGCCUGCGUAUUCUCCCGACGACGGCGACUUUUCUGAUGUUGUUAAGGUCAUAGGCCAUAUACUCAUGGAAGAGGACAUGCAGGAUCAGUCGUCCAUGUUCUUCGACUCCUGGGCUCUUCAAGCCGCCGAGAGGUCUUUCUACGAAGCCCUUGGCAACAAGUAUCCUCUCUCACCCAAUCAGCCGCCUCUGGAGAGUCCAAACACCUUUUCUAGUGAUUGUAGUCAUAGCCGUGGUGAUGGCACUAUCAAUUCAGUUCAAACUAGGUUGAUUGGUGAUAGGAGAGAACUUGGUCCCUCUGUGUCGCAAUCCUCUCUCCAGGAUGUCAACCCCGCUUUUCAGUCCACUUCACAGUUACCCCUCAGCUCUCUGAGCAACUCCAGUCAUAGUUUUAAUGGGCCAGUGCACUCUUCUGUUAGUAUGCCUCUUGAUCCAAAUCCUUUCACCAAGAACGACACUGCAUUGCAGUUUAGAAGAGGGGUGGAGGAAGCUAGUAAAUUUCUUCCUGGUGCAAAUCUCUUAACUAUAGAUCUGGAGAACCAGAAUUUGCCUCCAGUGGACAAUGCUCAAGAGGUAGAGAAGGAUGAUACGGAGUCUUUGCCUAAUGGGUCAAGGGGAAGGAAGAAUCAUGACAGGGAGGAAAUAUGCGAGGAAGAAGAGAGGCGUAAUAAGCAAUCGGCGGUUCAUGUGGAAGAGGCUGAGUUAGUAGAUAUGUUUGACAGCGUUUUACUUUGUUCUUAUGGAUAUCAGAAUUAUAUCCUGUGUACUGCCGAUAAAGAUGAGCAGAAUGGAGAAGCCAAGGCAUUGGAGCAGGAUGGGCCAGCGGGCAGAUUAAAUGCUGGGAAGGGUCGUGCAAAGAGAAGAGGAAAUAAGAAGGAAGUCGUGGAUUUGAGGACUUUGCUUAUUCUCUGUGCUCAAGCUGUCAAUGCUGAUGAUCGCAGGACUGCAGAUGAACUGUUAAGACAGAUUCGGCAGCAUUCUUCUCCCUCUGGAGAUGGGUCUCAAAGGUGUGCCCAUUACUUUGCUAAUGCCCUUGAGGCACGCUUGACUGGUACUGGGACUCAACUUUAUACUGCCUUGGCUUCCAGAUUGGAAUCAGCUUCUGAUAUGUUGAAAUGUUACCAACUUUAUCUCAUGGCAUCCCCUUUCAAGAAGAUUGCUCUGAAGUUUGCAAAUCACCACAUUUUUGGUUUUGCUGAGAAAGCAACGACGCUUCAUAUUAUAGAUUUUGGUAUCCUGUAUGGUUUCCAAUGGCCCAUGCUCAUUCAUCAUCUCUCAUCCAGACCUGGUGGCCCUCCCAAGCUUCGCAUUACGGGGAUAGAUCUUCCCCAACCUGGUUUCCGGCCAGCAGAAAGAAUUCAGGAGACUGGGCAUCGUUUGGCAAGGUAUUGUGAGCGCUUUAAUGUUCCAUUUGAGUAUAAUGCCAUAGCAAAAAAAUGGGAAACUAUCAGAAUUGAAGACCUCAAGAUAAAAAAAAAUGAGGUGAUUGCUGUGAAUUCCUUGUUCCGAUUUAGGAAUCUACUUGACGAGACAGUUGUUAUAGACAGUCCAAGGGAUGCUGUUCUGAACUUAAUCCGGAAGAUAAAUCCUGAUAUCUUCACGGUUUCUGUUGUUAAUGGUUGCUACAGUGCUCCCUUCUUCGUCACACGCUUCCGGGAGCUGCUAUUUCACUUCUCUGCAUUCUUUGACAUGUUUGAUGCUAACUUAUCCCGUGAAAAUCAGGAGAGAAUGGUGUUUGAGAAAGAAUUUUAUGGGCGGGAGACUAUGAAUGUCAUAGCAUGUGAGGGCUUAGAAAGAGUGGUGAGACCUGAGACAUACAAGCAAUGGCAGGUCCGAAUUGGAAGGGCUGGGUUCAGGCUGCUUCCAUUGGAUGGGGAUCUUAUGAAGGCAUUGAGGACUAAGGUGAAAGCUGGCUUUCACAAGGAUUUUGUGGUUGAUGAAGAUGGGCACUGGAUGCUGCAGGGAUGGAAAGGCCGAAUUCUUUAUGCAUCUUCAUGUUGGAUUCCUGCAAAUGAAUCUUGAAUGGCAUUUUUAUUUUUUUGUCAGAACGUUGAAGAACUAUGAUUUUUUUCCCUGAAACCUACUGCCUUCUUGUUUCAUUGCUGUAUGUCAGGGAAGACUGUGAAUGAGGACAAAGAUCUGUUCAGGUGGAGGUACUUUCUUCCAGAGCAAACUUGUGGUGUAUUGGUGCUAUUCAUGCUGUCUGUUGUCUUCACCAGAUAAUGUACAGUGUCUUGGCACUGCAAUAAGAUUCUUUCUUGAAUGCUUUCUGGCCAUUGUGUGGAGGGUCAUCGUGUUUAAAAUCUGUGGUGAUGGAAUCAUUGACAUGAACUUGUUGCCCACAGAAUCAAGACACGAAACAAGUCACAACUAUUGGCAUGAUGAAGAGGCUAAUUACAUUGCGCAGCCAUAUGUCUUGCUUGUCAUGCCAUUUUUCUGAUCCUGGUCUUUUUUCAUUUCCUUCAUAGUGGUUGCAAUGAGAAUCAGGACUUGUGCAUCUCUGCCUCUGUAAAUAUUUACUGUUGCUUGGGAGUUGUAGUAUUUAUAUAGUCAGAUGUAUUAAUGAGUGGUAUUUUUUGAGCUUAUAGAAUUGCCUUCUCUUCCC